rnacentral:lncRNA from 1 species
CGCGGCAGGUACUGGUGCAUGCCCGGGAACAUCACCGCCGGCGGCGCCAUGCCGCUGCCCAUCCACAUCAUCUGCACCUGCAUCUGCAGCGUCUUCAGGUACUCGAUGGCCUCGUCCAGCAUCGACGCCUUGUCCGUCUGACCACACGAAUACAAAACCAACAAGCAGAUCAAUUAAUUACUACUGUAGGUUGUUGGUCAAAAAGAAAAGAAUUUUGUGUGUUGUGCGAGCGAGGUUUGGCACCUUGUUGCAGUGAGGUAUGAGUUCUUGCAAGGCCUUCAUCUUCUCGUUGAUCCUGUCUCGUCUCCUCUGCAUCACAGACAGCAGCAGUGUCAGAGAGGAGAGUUAAAGAUCGAUGUAAUAAUCAUCAGCAGUCUGAAUUAAUUACACGCCGGCCACGCACCCGCUCGGAGAGGUUGUGCACCUCGGCUGCGCGGCUCCUCCUGGCCGUGGGGAGCUUCAGCGGAGGCUUGCGCUCGAUGAGCGCCAAGGACUCCGACUCCGCGUCCUCGCUGGGGCUCUCGGAGUAGUCCUCGGUGCGGCUGUCGAGCCGCUUCCGCUUGCUGCUGCUCCGGAGGCUCGCGCUCGUCGGCUCCGUGGACGUCGUCGUCGUGUUCGUGAAGCAGCCGUUGGAGCGCCCCGACGACGACGCCACCGUGGCCUCACGGCCUCUGCCGUUUGCAUUAAUCCCGCUGCCCACCGCCGACUGCAGCCGGGCGCUGCUGCCGUAGGCAGCGGUGCCCGCGGACUGCACGCGGCCGGCGUGCUGCACCUGCACCUGGUUGCUGCUCCCGCAGAACGACGACGCCGACGCGCCCUCCUGCUCCAUGGCCGCCGCCGCCGCCUUCCCCGUGGACCGGGCCUGCACGAGGUCCGACAGCUCGCCGCCGUCCGCCAUGGUCGACUUGGGCGGCGGCAUCAGCUCGCUCGGCGCGUCGGACGACUUGCUGCCGUUGCCGUCUCCGUAGCAGUCCGGCUUGAUCCCCACUGCCUGAGGCACGGCUUCGCAGAAGAGGUCCGAGAAGAUGUCCUUGUCGAGCGAGUCGGCGUGCGAGAAAGGGAACCACAGCCCGGCCUCGUCUUCUUGCAUCACCGCCGCCGCCGCCGCCGCCUUUUCGGGCCUCGGCGGCAGCUUCCGGUGAGUCUGGCUCUGCAUGACCACAUGGCCGUUGCACCACAGCAGCUCCAUGAGGUCAUCGUCCACGCUGCACACCCAAAAACACACAUCAUGCAACAAACGUCAGGAUUUACCCUUCGAUCAGUUUGGCCUAUCAUCAGAUUACUCACAGCCGUUGAUCAAUUAAGCGAUCGAGUACGAACCCGAGGGGUCUGGAUGCGUCUCCCAUGUUUGCUCCAAUCAGCUGGAACGUACGAGUUGGCUAAUGCCUCAGAUCAUACGACUUGGUGAGUGAGUGACUCGCUUCAGUGCAGACUGCAGAAGCAGAGGAAAUGGUAAUUUAGAAUCACAACAAAACCAGGUUCAUCAAACAAUUAAAAAAAAAAGAACCACAGGAAUAUUACGAAGAUAACUGUAAUGUAACAUGAAUUUUUUAUGUUGACUGACAACGAUAACGGAUUGACCAUAAGCAGUUUAUGUCGCUUUGUCUAGGAUCCUGCAGCACACCAUGAUUUGGCUUCAGAUGACGAAGGCAAAGCAUGUGCGAUAGAGCAGCCGACAGGCUAGCAUUAUGUAAUGGCAACAGAAAUCCCAGAUAUAUAUGAGUUUCCAA